rnacentral:rRNA from 1 species
CGACCCCUUUUCCAUUGGUAUGAAUUUCGGUAACUGGGGCUAAUUUCCGAUAGGUGAAGCUCUCUGGAAUGAGUCUUUGCUCAAAGGGCAUCUGGGGCAUGCUUCUAGAUGCUGCCUAAGGAUGGGGCCGCGGCCGAUCAGGUUGUUGGUGAGGUAACGGCUCACCAAGCCUUUUACCGGUACGGGCCGUGGGAGCGGUAGCCCGGAGAUGGGCACUGAGACAAGGGCCCAGGCCCUACGGGGCGCAGCAGUCGCGAAAACUUCGCAAUAAGCGAAAGCUUGACGGGGCUAUCCCGAGUGCCAUCUGCUGAGGAUGGCUUUUACCCAGUAUAGAUAGCUGGGGGAAUAAGGAGAGGGCAAGUCUGGUGUCAGCCGCCGCGGUAAUACCAGCUCUCCGAGUUGUGGGGAUGAUUAUUGGGCCUGAAGCAUCCGUAGCCGGCUAAGCAAGUCCUCUGUUAAAUCCAGCGAUAAAUCGUUGGCCUGCGGGGGAUACUGCUUGGCUAGGGGGCGGGAGAGGCCGUCGGUAUUCUUGGGGUAGGGGUGAAAUCCUAUAAUCCCAGGAGGACCACCAGUGGCGAAGGCUGUCGGCUAGAACGCGCCCGACGGUGAGGGAUGAAAGCUGGGGGAGCGAACCGGAUUAGAUACCCGGGUAGUCCCAGCUGUAAACGAUGCAGGCUAGGUGUUAGGGCGGCUACGGGCCGCUCUAGUGCCGCAGGGAAGCUGUUAAGCCUGCCGCCUGGGGAGUACGGCCGCAAGGCUGAAACUUAAAGGAAUUGGCGGGGGAGCAC